AAGACCUUACUUCUACAGGAUCAUUUCUGCAGUAAGUGGUCGAUUGCAAAUAAUGUCAAAUUUUGCGAAAAUAGAAACCAUGAUGAGGAAUCAUAGUGUUCUUCCUUGAGCGUGAGAAAAAUUGUUUGAAUCUCUUGUAGAUUCGAACAGUUAUCGAUGAUCGCUGGUACUUUCGUUAGCGGGAUGUUCUUGGGAAGAACACUUUCUGAGUGGU
rnacentral:snoRNA from 1 species